GUUGGGUAGGGGAGCGUUCUGUAAGCCGUAGAAGGUGGUCUGUGAGGACUGCUGGAGGUAUCAGAAGUGCGAAUGCUGACAUAAGUAACGAUAAAGCGGGUGAAAAGCCCGCUCGCCGGAAGACCAAGGGUUCCUGUCCAACGUUAAUCGGGGCAGGGUGAGUCGACCCCUAAGGCGAGGCCGAAAGGCGUAGUCGAUGGGAAACAGGUUAAUAUUCCUGUACUUGGUGUUACUGCGAAGGGGGGACGGAGAAGGCUAUGUCAUCCGGGCGACGGUUGUCCCGGUUUAAGCGUGCAGGUGGAAUGACCAGGUAAAUCCGGUUGUUUGCUAACACUGAGGCGUGAUGACGAGGCACUACGGUGCUGAAGUGACAGAUGCCCUGCUUCCAGGAAAAGCCUCUAAGCAUCAGGUAACACGAAAUCGUACCCCAAACCGACACAGGUGGUCAGGUAGAGAAUACCAAGGCGCUUGAGAGAACUCGGGUGAAGGAACUAGGCAAAAUGGUGCCGUAACUUCGGGAGAAGGCACGCUGGUGCGUAGGUGAAGUCCCUUGCGGAUGGAGCUGAGACCAGUCGAAGAUACCAGCUGGCUGCAACUGUUUAUUAAAAACACAGCACUGUGCAAACACGAAAGUGGACGUAUACGGUGUGACGCCUGCCCGGUGCCGGAAGGUUAAUUGAUGGGGUCAGCCGCAAGGCGAAGCUCCUGAUCGAAGCCCCGGUAAACGGCGGCCGUAACUAUAACGGUCCUAAGGUAGCGAAAUUCCUUGUCGGGUAAGUUCCGACCUGCACGAAUGGCGUAAUGAUGGCCAGGCUGUCUCCACCCGAGACUCAGUGAAAUUGAACUCGCUGUGAAGAUGCAGUGUACCCGCGGCAAGACGGAAAGACCCCGUGAACCUUUACUAUAGCUUGACACUGAACAUUGAGCCUUGAUGUGUAGGAUAGGUGGGAGGCUUUGAAGCGUGGACGCCAGUCUGCGUGGAGCCGACCUUGAAAUACCACCCUUUAAUGUUUGAUGUUCUAACGUGGACCCGUGAUCCGGGUUGCGGACAGUGUCUGGUGGGUAGUUUGACUGGGGCGGUCUCCUCCUAAAGAGUAACGGAGGAGCACGAAGGUUGGCUAAUCCUGGUCGGACAUCAGGAGGUUAGUGCAAUGGCAUAAGCCAGCUUGACUGCGAGCGUGACGGCGCGAGCAGGUGCGAAAGCAGGUCAUAGUGAUCCGGUGGUUCUGAAUGGAAGGGCCAUCGCUCAACGGAUAAAAGGUACUCCGGGGAUAACAGGCUGAUACCGCCCAAGAGUUCAUAUCGACGGCGGUGUUUGGCACCUCGAUGUCGGCUCAUCACAUCCUGGGGCUGAAGUAGGUCCCAAGGGUAUGGCUGUUCGCCAUUUAAAGUGGUACGCGAGCUGGGUUUAGAACGUCGUGAGACAGUUCGGUCCCUAUCUGCCGUGGGCGCUGGAGAAUUGAGGGGGGCUGCUCCUAGUACGAGAGGACCGGAGUGGACGCAUCACUGGUGUUCGGGUUGUCAUGCCAAUGGCACUGCCCGGUAGCUAAAUGCGGAAGAGAUAAGUGCUGAAAGCAUCUAAGCACGAAACUUGCCCCGAGAUGAGUUCUCCCUGAGACUUUAGGUCUCCUGAAGGAACGUUGAAGACGACGACGUUGAUAGGCCGGGUGUGUAAGCGCAGCGAUGCGUUGAGCUAACCGGUACUAAUGAACCGUGAGGCUUAACCUUACAACGCCGAAG
rnacentral:rRNA from 1 species